rnacentral:rRNA from 1 species
GUACGGAAUAGCUCCGGGAAACUGGAAUUAAUACCGUAUGAGCCCUACGGGGGAAAGAUUUAUCGCCAAAGGAUGGGCCCGCGUUGGAUUAGCUAGUUGGUGAGGUAAUGGCUCACCAAGGCGACGAUCCAUAGCUGGUCUGAGAGGAUGAUCAGCCACACUGGGACUGAGACACGGCCCAGACUCCUACGGGAGGCAGCAGUGGGGAAUAUUGGACAAUGGGGGCAACCCUGAUCCAGCCAUGCCGCGUGAGUGAUGAAGGCCUUAGGGUUGUAAAGCUCUUUCAGCGAGGAGGAUAAUGACGUUACUCGCAGAAGAAGCCCCGGCUAACUUCGUGCCAGCAGCCGCGGUAAUACGAAGGGGGCUAGCGUUGUUCGGAAUCACUGGGCGUAAAGCGCACGUAGGCGGAUUGAUAAGUUAGGGGUGAAAUCCCGGGGCUCAACCUCGGAACUGCCUUUGAUACUGUCAGUCUUGAGUCCGAGAGAGGUGAGUGGAACUCCGAGUGUAGAGGUGAAAUUCGUAGAUAUUCGGAAGAACACCAGUGGCGAAGGCGGCUCACU